UUGAUACCCUAUUAUUUUAAAUGUAAAUUAUUGCUCUUAGUAUUAAUAGUUAUGAUCUUUAAAUUAAAAGAAUUUGACGGUGAUUUAAUCUAUUCAGAGGAACCUGUCCUGUAAUCGAUAAUCCACGAUAAAUUUUACUUUAAUUAUUGUUUGUAUAUCUCUGUUUAUUGAGUGUUUUAUUAGAAUUUAUUCUCUUCAAUUUUUGUUAAAUCUUAUAUCAGGUCAAGGUGCAAUUAUAUUAAAGGAUGAGAUGGGUUACAUUUAUCUUAUAAUUUUGGAUUAGAGGUAAUAAUUAUUGUAUUAUUCCUAUGAAAUUGGAUUUGGAUGUAAUAAAUAUUAUG
rnacentral:rRNA from 1 species